CAAGUCGUACGGGUGCAGCAAUGCAUCAGUGGCGAACGGGUGAGUAAUGUAUCGCUAACGUGCCCUUGAGUCCGGGAUAGCUAUCCGAAAGGGUAGGUAAUACCGGGUAAGACCACAAUCCCGCAUGGGAUGGUGCUCAAAGGAGUAAUCCGCUGAAGGUGCGGGCGAUAUCGUAUCAGCUAGUUGGUGAGGUAACGGCUCACCAAGGCGACGACGCGUAGCCGGGCUGAGAGGUCGGCCGGCCACAUUGGGACUGAGACACUGCCCAGACUCCUACGGGGGGCUGCAGUAACGAAUCUUCCGCAAUGCACGAAAGUGUGACGGAGCGACGCCGCGUGGAGGACGAAGUUCUUCGGAAUGUAAACUCCUGUCAGGGGUAACCAAGUUCUGAGGUGCCCCAGAGGAAGGCACGGCUAACUCUGUGCCAGCAGCCGCGGUAAGACAGAGGUGCCGAGCGUUAGGCGGAGUCACUGGGCUUAAAGCGUGUGUAGGCGGGCGGGCAAGUACCUUGUGAAAUCCCACGGCUCAACCGUGGAACGGCUGGGUAUACUGCCUGUCUUGAGCCAACUAGGGGCGAGCGGAACAGACGGUGGAGCGGUGAAAUGCGUAGAUAUCGUCUGGAACGCCAAAGGUGAAAACAGCUCGCUGGGGUUGUGCUGACGCUGAGACACGAAAGCCAGGGGAGCGAACGGGAUUAGAUACCCCGGUAGUCCUGGCCCUAAACGAUGUCGACUAGAUCGUGGUCCCUCUGACGGGUUCACGGUCGAAGCAAAAGUGCUAAGUCGACCGCCUGGGAAGUACGGUCGCAAGGCUAAAACUCAAAGGAAUUGACGGGGGCUCACACAAGCGGUGGAGCAUGUGGUUCAAUUCGAAGCAACGCGCAGAACCUUACCUGGGCUUGACAUGCCAGGAUUAUCCCCAUGAAAGUGGGGGUAGGCCC
rnacentral:rRNA from 1 species